rnacentral:rRNA from 1 species
AUUGAACGCUGGCGGCAUGCCUUACACAUGCAAGUCGAACGGUAACAGGUUAAGCUGACGAGUGGCGAACGGGUGAGUAAUGUAUCGGAACGUGCCCAGUCGUGGGGGAUAACUGCUCGAAAGAGCAGCUAAUACCGCAUACGACCUGAGGGUGAAAGCGGGGGAUCGCAAGACCUCGCGCGAUUGGAGCGGCCGAUAUCAGAUUAGGUAGUUGGUGAGGUAAAGGCUCACCAAGCCGACGAUCUGUAGCUGGUCUGAGAGGACGACCAGCCACACUGGGACUGAGACACGGCCCAGACUCCUACGGGAGGCAGCAGUGGGGAAUUUUGGACAAUGGGCGCAAGCCUGAUCCAGCCAUGCCGCGUGCGGGAAGAAGGCCUUCGGGUUGUAAACCGCUUUUGUCAGGGAAGAAAAGGUGCUGGCUAAUACCUGGGACUCAUGACGGUACCUGAAGAAUAAGCACCGGCUAACUACGUG